rnacentral:rRNA from 1 species
AACGAACGCUGGCGGCAGGCCUAACACAUGCAAGUCGAACGCUGUAGCAAUACAGAGUGGCAGACGGGUGAGUAACGCGUGGGAACCUUCCCAAUGGUGCGGAAUAGCCCAGGGAAACUUGGGGUAAUACCGCAUAAGCCCUUAGGGGGAAAGAUUUAUCGCCAUUGGAUGGGCCCGCGUCGGAUUAGCUAGUUGGCGGGGUAAUGGCUCACCAAGGCAACGAUCCGUAGCUGGUUUGAGAGAAUGACCAGCCACACUGGGACUGAGACACGGCCCAGACUGCGACGGGAGGCAGCAGUGGCGAAUCUUGGACAAUGGGCGCAAGCCUGAUCCAGCCAUGCCGCGUGAGUGACGAAGGCCUUAGGGUUGUAAAGCUCUUUUGCCGGGGACGAUAAUGACGGUACCCGGAGAAUAAGUCCCGGCUAACUUCGUGCCAGCCGCCGCGGUAA